GGGUGACUGCGUACCUUUUGUAUAAUGGGUCAGCGACUUAUAUUCUGUAGCAAGGUUAACCGUAUAGGGGAGCCGCAGGGAAACCGAGUCUUAACUGGGCGUUAAGUUGCAGGGUAUAGACCCGAAACCCGGUGAUCUAGCCAUGGGCAGGUUGAAGGUUGGGUAACACUAACUGGAGGACCGAACCGACUAAUGUUGAAAAAUUAGCGGAUGACUUGUGGCUGGGGGUGAAAGGCCAAUCAAACCGGGAGAUAGCUGGUUCUCCCCGAAAGCUAUUUAGGUAGCGCCUCGUGAACUCAUCUUCGGGGGUAGAGCACUGUUUCGGCUAGGGGGUCAUCCCGACUUACCAACCCGAUGCAAACUACGAAUACCGAAGAAUGUUAUCACGGGAGACACACGGCGGGUGCUAACGUCCGUCGUGAAGAGGGAAACAACCCAGACCGCCAGCUAAGGUCCCAAAGUCAUGGUUAAGUGGGAAACGAUGUGGGAAGGCCCAGACAGCCAGGAUGUUGGCUUAGAAGCAGCCAUCAUUUAAAGAAAGCGUAAUAGCUCACUGGUCGAGUCGGCCUGCGCGGAAGAUGUAACGGGGCUAAACCAUGCACCGAAGCUGCGGCAGCGACACUAUGUGUUGUUGGGUAGGGGAGCGUUCUGUAAGCCGUUGAAGGUGGCCUGUGAGGGUUGCUGGAGGUAUCAGAAGUGCGAAUGCUGACAUAAGUAACGAUAAUGCGGGUGAAAAACCCGCACGCCGGAAGACCAAGGGUUCCUGUCCAACGUUAAUCGGGGCAGGGUGAGUCGACCCCUAAGGCGAGGCCGAAAGGCGUAGUCGAUGGGAAACAGGUUAAUAUUCCUGUACUCGGUGUUACUGCGAAGGGGGGACGGAGAAGGCUAUGUUGGCCGGGCGACGGUUGUCCCGGUUUAAGCAUGUAGGCGGAUGUUCCAGGUAAAUCCGGAACGUUAUUAACGCUGAGGUGUGAUGACGAGGCACUACGGUGCUGAAGUGACAAAUGCCCUGCUUCCAGGAAAAGCCUCUAAGCAUCAGGUAACAUCAAAUCGUACCCCAAACCGACACAGGUGGUCAGGUAGAGAAUACCAAGGCGCUUGAGAGAACUCGGGUGAAGGAACUAGGCAAAAUGGUGCCGUAACUUCGGGAGAAGGCACGCUGAUGGUAGGUGAAGCGACUUGCUCGUGGAGCUGAAAUCAGUCGAAGAUACCAGCUGGCUGCAACUGUUUAUUAAAAACACAGCACUGUGCAAACACGAAAGUGGACGUAUACGGUGUGACGCCUGCCCGGUGCCGGAAGGUUAAUUGAUGGGGUUAUCCGUAAGGAGAAGCUCUUGAUCGAAGCCCCGGUAAACGGCGGCCGUAACUAUAACGGUCCUAAGGUAGCGAAAUUCCUUGUCGGGUAAGUUCCGACCUGCACGAAUGGCGUAAUGAUGGCCAGGCUGUCUCCACCCGAGACUCAGUGAAAUUGAACUCGCUGUGAAGAUGCAGUGUACCCGCGGCAAGACGGAAAGACCCCGUGAACCUUUACUAUAGCUUGACACUGAACACUGGUCCUUGAUGUGUAGGAUAGGUGGGAGGCUUUGAAGUGUGGACGCCAGUCUGCAUGGAGCCAUCCUUGAAAUACCACCCUUUAAUGGCUGGUGUUCUAACGUGGGCCCGUAAUCCGGGUUGCGGACAGUGUCUGGUGGGUAGUUUGACUGGGGCGGUCUCCUCCUAAAGAGUAACGGAGGAGCACGAAGGUCAGCUAAUCCUGGUCGGACAUCAGGAGGUUAGUGCAAUGGCAUAAGCUGGCUUGACUGCGAGCGUGACGGCGCGAGCAGGUGCGAAAGCAGGUCAUAGUGAUCCGGUGGUUCUGAAUGGAAGGGCCAUCGCUCAACGGAUAAAAGGUACUCCGGGGAUAACAGGCUGAUACCGCCCAAGAGUUCAUAUCGACGGCGGUGUUUGGCACCUCGAUGUCGGCUCAUCACAUCCUGGGGCUGAAGUAGGUCCCAAGGGUAUGGCUGUUCGCCAUUUAAAGUGGUACGCGAGCUGGGUUUAGAACGUCGUGAGACAGUUCGGUCCCUAUCUGCCGUGGGCGCUGGAGAAUUGAGGGGGGCUGCUCCUAGUACGAGAGGACCGGAGUGGACGCAUCACUGGUGUUCGGGUUGUCAUGCCAAUGGCAUUGCCCGGUAGCUAAAUGCGGAAGAGAUAAGUGCUGAAAGCAUCUAAGCACGAAACUUGCCCCGAGAUGAGUUCUCCCUGACUCCUUGAGAGUCCUGAAGGAACGUUGAAGACGACGACGUUGAUAGGCCGGGUGUGUAAGCGCAGCGAUGCGUUGAGCUAACCGGUACUAAUGAACCGUGAGGCUUAACCUUACAACGCCGAAG
rnacentral:rRNA from 1 species